UUUCUCAAGGGAUUUAUUAAGACUGUUGUCUACAAUUUCAAAUUUAGCACCCUUACCAUGGGUAUUGGGAGGGAAUUUUAAUGAAAUACUUUAUAGGCAUGAAAAAGUUAAGGCUCGAGUUAGGAACUUUAAUCAAAUAAUGAGCUUUCAUGAUGUUAUUGAUGAUUGUUCUCUUCGAGAUAUUGAUUCCAUCGACCAAAAUUCACAUGGAUCAAUAGGCACGAUACUACUAAUCUUAUUAAAUGCCGACUAGACAGAUUUUUUUUAACUCGGAUUGGAAUUUAUUGUUUCCAUCUGCCUAUGCUGAAAACAUAUGUUUUUACCAUUCUGACCAUUAUACUAUUAGAAUGACUACCCAAGCUUAUCCGAAUUUAGCAGAUGUAAGGGCCCUAAAGGUCCUAGAAAUCGGUUUCACUUUGAGGAGGUUUGGAUUUCUAAGGAGGAAUGCACUGAAAUUAUUGAGAAAGCAUGGUCAAUUGGGUCGAGAGCUAGUACAGGAUCGAUGGAAAACUCAAUUAAGUCUUGCAGUUCUACUUUGAGUUCAUGGAAUUUUGAUAAGUUCAGGAGACUUCCUUCUAGGAAAGUAAGAAUUUGUAAGGAAAUUGAGCGACUGUAUUCAAACACGUGCUCAAGGGCGGAUAUCGGUCGGAUCAAAGCAGUUAGAAUGCAAACUUGAAAAUUACAUAAUAAAGAGGAGAUGUAUUUGAAGCAUCGGUCAAAGGCUACAUGGUUGGCACAUGGAGACAGAAAGUUGAAUUCCACUUCUAGGUGUCCCAACGUAGGAAAGCUAAUACUACAGCUGAUGUUCGAGGUCAAAUGGAAACUAGCAGAAUUCAAAGUCAGGCAUUUAGAUACUAUACAGAGACACAUCAUCAUCCAGAUUUCUCUAUGAUGGAAAAAAGAAGGAGAAAAUGCAACAUUGCUCUCAACCACCACUUUUAGAUACAAAUAGAAGCAAAGGCCCCAUGAUAAGAGAGAGGCAAACACAAUAAACAGAAGAAGAAGAUUACAAUUACUAUUAUUUUUUGUGUAAUAUUUGUAUUUUAACAUAGAAAAUAAUUAUGGCCAUUUUGCUUAAAGAUUGUCCUAAUUGUAAUAGUUGGCUGUUAUUUUUUGCAUGCAGUGGGUACUAUCCAUUAACAGGCAAAGGAUGAUAAUGUUUCUUUUGUUCUCAUGGCCAUUGUUUAUAUGUACUGCUAAUAUUUUGUUAUAUUAAUGAAAGCAGUUUAUUUCCGAUCUAA